UACGAAGGGUGCAAGCGUUAUUCGGAAUCACUGGGCGUAAAGGGUGCGUAGACGGUAUGUUAAGUUUGUUGUUAAAGGCUCCGGCCUAACUGGAGUAUUGCGAUGAAAACUGGCAUGCUAGAGGGUGAGAGAGAGAAGUGGAAUUCCCGGAGUAGCGGUAAAAUGCGUGGAUCUCGGGAGGAACACCAAUGGCGAAGGCAGCUUCUUGGCUCAUUCCUGACGUUGAGGCACGAAAGCGUGGGGAGCAAACAGG
rnacentral:rRNA from 2 species